AUUGAACGCUGGCGGCAGGCCUAACACAUGCAAGUCGAAUGGUAACAGGAAACAGCUUGCUGUUUCGCUGACGAGUGGCGGACGGGUGAGUAAUGUCUGGGAAACUGCCUGAUGGAGGGGGAUAACUACUGGAAACGGUAGCUAAUACCGCAUAACGUCGCAAGACCAAAGAGGGGGACCUUCGGGCCUCUUGCCAUCAGAUGUGCCCAGAUGGGAUUCGCUAGUUGGUGGGGUAACGGCUCACCUAGGCGACGAUCCCUAGCUGGUCUGAGAGGAUGACCAGCCACACUGGAACUGAGACACGGUCCAGACUCCUACGGGAGGCAGCAGUGGGGAAUAUUGCACAAUGGGCGCAAGCCUGAUGCAGCCAUGCCGCGUGUAUGAAGAAGGCCUUCGGGUUGUAAAGUACUUUCAGCGGGGAGGAAGGGAGUAAAGUUAAUACCUUUGCUCAUUGACGUUACCCGCAGAAGAAGCACCGGCUAGCUCCGUG
rnacentral:rRNA from 1 species